GGGGCUGUAGCUCAGUUGGGAGAGCGCUGCCUUCGCAAGGCGGAGGUCGGGGGUUCGAAUCCCCUCAGCUCCA
rnacentral:tRNA from 1 species